rnacentral:lncRNA from 1 species
GGCCUCCAUCUUGAAAACGGAAAAUAAAAACAGCAGACCUAUGAAGGUCGAAGGGGAAGAAAAGCUGUAUCGAUUGUUGAGAUCUGGCGACUUGUUUAAAUUUCAUCAGCCUCACUUCUAUGAACUCUCAGGGUCCUCGUAAGAACUUCCAUUUUAUGUUCUUGUCUUCUCAUCAGUUUGAGUUGUGUCUUUAACAUUGGAGAGAAAAACAACUUGCAAGAUUUUCUUUCAGUAUGAACCAUUCUGAGGUCCUUCAAUUCUUUAGCUGAUUACCAACUCCUACCACUGUUAACCCUCAUCCAGGAACAAGCUUAUGUCUUUAACAUUCUGAGUGGGCUUCAGCAUCCUUGCAUAUGUUCAAUUCUUAAAAACCUGUUGAAAUAAAAGAUCAGGAGACAUAGGAAGGAUGCCAGAAGAGAGCGUGGCCUCACGUGUACCAGCUCUCUGCUCUCCUUUGCCUUGGGACGUUCCAUCCCUGGAAGUUUCCCUGCCCACAUCUUUGUAGAGAGUCCAUUCUCCAAGCUUCAGUGUGUCAUCUGUGAGGACCGUGACCCACCUGGUACAUCGCCUCAGGGCAUUCAUUUCAGGCUCCUUCUAAAUGGCCAAGUUUUCAAGAUUGUUUUGGCUCUAGCAAAACAAGUUGGAACAUUCACAUCAUCCAAGCUGCAGCAAGCUGUUCGUCAGAGUCAUCUUUGGUGACUAUCUGCCUACAGGCAUUCCUUUGCACUCUGGGUGUAGCCCUCAGUGCUGGGCUUACAAAGAAGACGACACAAAAGCAACCAUGAAAAGAUCUUGGAAGCAGAGGGAUCUGCAGAAGUGCUUGCAACACUUUCAGCCUUAACCAGCAUCAGAGACAAAAAUCCUUUCUGGAAUGAGGCACCCUUGGAAAUGCAAUGCUACAUCUCAAUGGGAUUUUCCAGUACAAAGAUUCUUUUCAAAUAACAUAAUUGUGGAUACACACCACUCCUACAGUGCUGCACUGAUGAGGAAACUGAAACAGAAAAUCCAGAGUAAAUUCCACCAGGCCACACAGCAAGGUCUGAUAGAGCCAGGAGAGACUUUAUGAAAUCCAGACUCUCACACUAAUGCUCUAUCAGCUAGACCUCCAUGUGAGUCUCCCCAAUGUAGGUAGGAAGUGCUUUCCCUAAAAUGCUCAUAAAGCAAAUCAGAGCAAUGCUGCAUUCCAUGUGAUUUCUAAUUUGAAAUGCAAACAAUUGCCAAUUUGUUUGACUUGUAUUUAUAAUUAUUUCCUUGUGAAUUACUCAUCACUAAAUGCUUUAUAAAUAUUUUCUCUUUUUUUCCUCAAUGUCUAUGGAAUGAUCACAGCAUAGAAAAUGUUGGCUUUCAAGGAUUUAUUAAUAUCUCCUUUUGAAAUAACAUGUAUUUGUAAGACAGAAUAAAAUCACUUUAAAGAAACAAA